GACAGAGGGUGCAAACGUUGCUCGGAAUUACUGGGCGUAAAGCGCGUGUAGGUGGAUUGGUGUGUCAGAUGUGAAAUCCCUGGGCUCAACCCAGGAACUGCACCUGAAACUACCAGUCUUGAGUGGUGGAGAGGGAAGUGGAAUUCCUGGUGUAGAGGUGAAAUUCGUAGAUAUCAGGAGGAACACCGGUGGCGAAGGCGGCUUCCUGGACCGACACUGACGCUGAGGCGCGAAAGCCAGGGGAGCAAACGGG
rnacentral:rRNA from 1 species